rnacentral:tRNA from 1 species
GGCCUUGUGGCUCAGUUGGUAGAGCAUGGUGUUUGCAACGCCAGGAUCGUAGGUUCGAUUCCCACGGGGGACCA